UUGAAAUUUGUUGCUUUCCUUUUGGUGUACUUGUUCAGUUUUGACUUGGUCUAUUGAUAUUCUUGUCUUUUUGCAUGAGCAACUUAUGUUUUUCUUAAGUGCUUUUUUGUUAAAGCUGUGUGAAAGGCCUAUGAUGACUAGUGGUAUUUUUGAGCUCUUGUCAAUAUGUGCCUAUGAAAAAACUAUUAUCCCAGUUCUGAGGCCUCAUCCCAGCUUUUGUGUUUUCUUGAAACCUUGCCAUGGGCGUAGGUUCAGCUGUGCUGUGUAAGGAUACUAAUACAUUAGAGAUUGAAUCCUGAUCCAUGUGCGGACCUUUCUGUACUUGGAUAUUUGCUACUCUUUCUCUUAAGCGUGCUAAGGAUGGCAGCGCUUUCUCUCGCUGGUUUUUUCUCCCUAUAUCUAAACCUAGGUUUUACUUUUUUUUUAUUUUUAAUUCAUGUUUUUCUGCUAUUAGUGUUGUUUAACCCUAAUUUUUUUCAGGCUUGUGUAUUCGAUACAUCGCUGUUUGAUUUCGUUGUAGACUUCUGAUUUUUAGUUGUUUAUUUUUGUUUUGUGAUUAUAACCAGAGUAUUCCUCACGUUUUAUUAUGUAGAUUUGUAUUUUGCUUGCUUAAACCUGUUUGAUUUUCUUCCUGCUUUAAGAAUGGUGAAUUUAUUCUUGCUUCUAAGCUGAAUGAGCGAUUGUUGAAUGUUUAGUGGUGUUUAUUUAGCUAUGACUGAUAAUAUUUGGUGGUAAGUUGGUAAUUAUUGAAAAGUUAAUGAUUAUAAUUGGCAAUGAGGAAUAGAUAUGGUGUUAAUUUUAUGUGAAAAGUUAAUGUUUUGAUCUUGAUUAAUUUAGGACAUUGAGACAUUGGUGGAUGAGGUUCAGGAAGCUAGACGAAUCAGAUUGAAUCAUCAGCUAUGCAAGAAAUAGAGAAAAUCGAUUUAUAAAUGAUGGAUUUAGGAGGGAGUUAGCAAGAUUGACGAUAUAGUGAAUUAAAAUGCAAAACACGUGACUUAUAGGUGCUGUAAUACAGAAGUUCAUAGGUGAACUUUUAAUCAAGUAGACAGAUUAUUAUUCAUUCAGAUUGGACCAUUAGAUCACAUGUUCUUACAAAGCAAGGAUUUCUAACAUGGGUUUACAAAGCAAAGCAAGCAGUAGCAGAAUAGCAAUAGCUGAACAGAAAGCAUAACACAAAGUAGCAGAAGCAGAACAAUAGUAGUAGAAGCAGUAGCAGAACAGCAAUAGCAGUAGCAGAAGCAGAACAGCAGUAGUUAUGAUAUCCUGGCUGUGAUAGUUCUUGGAGUUAUCGGAGGUGUUCUAGGCAGCUUUUAUAAUUAUCUUGUUGACAUGCACUAUCGUUCACAACGUUGUUUAAUCCCUAUUUUGAUUAUGCUUGUGAAUGUAACAGCACCAGGCCCAACAAAACAGCUAUAUGUUUUUUUUUUCAGUUUUUUAAAGUGUAAUAUUACAAGUUAUUGAACAAAAUAUAUGUGUUUUAUGUA